CACGAGAGCCAGCCUGCGACACCUAAGGACAGAAACACCUCCCUCAGCCCAGCCGGCUGCUGACUCCAUGCGAAGAGGGACACCGACCCUUACAAUCUCACAGUGUCCUGCCCCUGCCCCUGCCCCUGUGAGGGCGAUGCUCCUUCCAUCAAAACCAGAGUGUCCCAGCUCUAGAUUCCCCACCCAAUCCCCAUGGCCCCCACUCAUCACCUCCUGUGGCUGUCUCAGCACCUCCAUCGUGAAUCCGUGCAUCCCUUCAGACGACUGCCUUCCGAUGCGGCCCCUGACCUGCCCCCCCUCCCAUCACUGAAUAGGACUCCUUUUCUCCUGGAUUUCCUG
rnacentral:lncRNA from 1 species